UUCCUGCUCAUCAACGGGGAGUGACUACAGUUGACGAGGAGCGACUACAAUAGAAAGAGAGCCCGAGAUGAAAAAAUAGAAAAAACGAAUCUGUACCAUUGGAUGAAAGAUCGAUGACCCAGAUUCAGGUGGAGCGAUCUGGGCGCAUAACUUGCAAAAAACUCCCUCGCUUAAGGUUAAUUUCUUCCCGAUGUCCUUGUUCAAACCCAAUACCAUACGUACGAAGUCGCAGCGACCAAAAAUUCCCCUCCACAACGGCGGCGACGGCGCCGGGCCGGAUCCUUCAACCAAGCUGGGCGAGUACGCACACCGGAGGUGAUGUUCCAUCUCUCUGAUGGCUCGUGCCCGCUGUGCCGCCGAUGGCCCAGUUUGAAGCCGACCAGAUCUGAGGUCGUGGAGUGCUAAGAUCCACGCAGCAGCGUGCUGGUCACGGCCUCCCAUCUCAUGCUCCGGCAGCGUGCUGGUCACGGCCUCCCAUCUCAUGCUCCGGCAGAGGCUGGUUCGUCACCGCCUCUCCAGCGGCUGGUCUUGAUGAUGUAUUGCUACUGUUGUUGGUGGUUUGGCAGUCUAAUUUGCACAUUCUGUUUAACUGUUAAGUACUCUGGAGAACCAAGUUAGUAGGUUGAGGACGGGUAGAUAAUCCUCGAUUUGAAAUUUAGGACAUUGCACUGAAAAUAUUAAUAUCUACGAUUGUUCCAUUUAUCGUCAAAAUACGCAUUCAUUCAGUGAAAAGUUGAUGGACAGUGAGCUCUUUUUAAUUGUGAAGAUUACAAUUACCAAUUCCUAUAACAAAGGCAUUGUAUUAUAAUUUACCAGUUCUAGGCACACCCUUCUGAGUUCUGACCAUUAGUUUGAGGCAUGGAUGGAGCCACUAGCAGACCCGAUCCAUGAGCAUACAUUAUAUAUGUGUGCUUUGGUGAAAAGAAGAGAAAAAACAAAUUAGCCAAUGUAACAUUUGGGCAAGUAGAAUCUGACCAGAAUAGUACGGGACAGAAAGUUGUACAACCUGAAAUACCUGUCUGAGUGGCACAUAUAGUAAGGCUAGGUUUCUUUUUCUUCUCCUUAUUCUACUAGUAAAAGCUAGGGUGUCAAUGGGUAGUAGUACAUCCAUAGUACUACUAAUGCUACUGUAAUAUAUAUAAGGUGGGUAGGAAUAAGAAUAGAAUGCCAAAGAAUAUGAUAUGAUUUUUUCUUAUUUUUACAUUCGACAGGCUAUCUGAAAAUGCCAAGGCUUAUAAAGGAUGGUUUUCUAAUAGGAUUCUGCUUUCGCAUUUUGAUUUCUCCCAGGACAAGAAGCUCGAGCAAGAAGCACUACGGCUGGAGGCAACUGUUGCGUACCAUCAAGAUAGCAACGUUGAUGCAGUUUUUAAUGGCAAUGUCUGUUGAAUGAUGAUUAUUAGUCCUUUAGACUAAGUAUUGCUUGCGAUGUACCCUAAUGCAAUUUUCGCUAGCAAUGCUUGUUGAUCCUGUCAUGUUAUUUAUUACUUGAUAUGCACUCCCUCCGUUUCUAAAUAUAAGAUCUUUUAAAGACUUCAA